UGUCGAUGAAGAGCGCAGCCAACUGUGUGAAUUAAUGUGAACUGCAUACUGCUUUGAACAUCGACAUCUUGAACGCACAUUGCGGCCAUGGGUUAGCCUGUGGCCACGCCCGUCCGAGGGUCG
rnacentral:rRNA from 3 species